rnacentral:lncRNA from 1 species
UCCAUUUCCUGCUAAGCGCCGAAGCGGGAUUUGGUUGCUUCCUGACAUAACUAUUCGCCAAAGAACAGUGUAUCUACAAGAUUCUUUUAUACUGGCAACCAAAAAAAACAUGGUAAGACAAGCGACUGAUGACAAAUCCAAUGUAUGUCGGCCAAACCGUUUUUGUGAUAAAAGGAAGCAGAAAGUGGAACAAAAUAUUCUCAAAAUAACAAAUCAUCAACAAUUCACAAGAUAAAAAUUGUUUAUGUAAAAUGACUGAGUUUCCAUCCGUGCAAUCGGAAAACAACAUCUCAGAGUCGGAAGAUUAAGAUUAACAACACAUUGAAAUUGCAAGCUUUGAGUGUAGCAUUACAAAUUUACCAAAUGAAAUAUAUAAAUGAAAAGGCACACACAACAGUGGUGGAAAUGGGGAGUAUAGUGAAUGAAGUCAUGCUUUAAGAUUAAAUUAGUCAUUUAAGAGGGUGGGGUGAUCAACAGAAGAAAUGCAGAUUAAAUCCACCAAUUACAAGCAUAUAAAUUUCGAACAACAUCGAGAUUCAAUAGAAGCUGGGAAAUCAAACUAAAAACAUCAGAAUCAGAAAGCUUAGUUAAUGAUGUCAUAUAGCUUUAAAAGUAAAGUAGCAAUUUAUGCUGGUGAUUCAACAGAAAAAAAUGCAGAUAAAUCACAAUCACAGGCACAUAAAUUCGAACCAGCUUCCGAGAUUCACAGAGCUAUAGGAAAUCAACUAAACAAUUCAGAUUGAAACUUAGUUAACAAAUGUCAUGGCUUUAAAGUUAAGCUGGUGAUUUUCAACAAAACAAUGCAGAUAACUCCACAAGCACAAGCACUAAAUUUCGACAAGCCAUCGAGAUUCCAAUAGAAGCUAUAGCAAUCGGAACUAAAAAAACUCAGAAUUAAACAAAAGAAAUUAAAAAUCUAAACGCCAUCCACAUGUAUCGAAUCCAGAUCUUGAAAUGUCUUCUGCGGAUUGUUCACAUCGCGAAAACGCGUAGGAUUGAGCAAUUAUUCAAGUUCACAAAGGCAAAUCCAUAAAUGUAAAUAAUUUUGAAAAAGCAGAAAUAGAAAAAGACGAAUCCAAAUUCAAACAAACAGAAAAAUAACGAAUUUCAUUAUUGGAAAUUCGGGAAUACAUGAUUGAGGUAAUGGGUGGGUGAAUUUACCUUCAGAUCAACGAACCGAGUGGCCACAUAUGGGAUCUCUAUUUUCUCGAAUCUGUACGAUAGAUCUACUAAUCAUACAUAGAUGUGUGAAUGCAUGUAAUGCAAUGUAGGUAUGUGGAGAGAGAGAGAGAGAGAGAGAGAGAGAGAGAGGGC